AGGCCAGCUCGGGGUGACUUAACAGGUGAAGUCUGUCACUGGGCUGAUGGUUAUCAUCUCAAUGUCAGGCUCUACGAGAAACUUCUUGUUAGUGUCUUUGAUAUGUUAGAUGAGGGAAAGUUGACUGAGGAGGUAGAAGAAAUCCUCGAACUCUUGAAGUCAACCUGGCGUGUCCUUGGAAUCACAGAGACCAUCCAUUACACUUGCUUUACUUGGGUACUGUUUCGCCAGUUUGUUAUUACAUCCGAGCAAGGCAUGCUGCA
rnacentral:misc_RNA from 1 species